UGGGGACUCUUGUAAUAGGAUACACUGGA
rnacentral:piRNA from 1 species